UACGUAGGGUGCAAGCGUUAAUCGGAAUUACUGGGCGUAAAGCGUGCGCAGGCGGCUUUGCAAGACAGAUGUGAAAUCCCCGGGCUUAACCUGGGAACUGCGCUUCUAACUGGCAGGCUUGAGUGUGGCAGAGGGGGGUGGAAUUCCGACGUGUAGCAGUGAAAUGCGUAGAGAUGUGGAGGAACACCGAUGGCGAAGGCAGCCCCCUGGGCUAACACUGACGCUCAUGCACGAAAGCGUGGGGAGCAAACAGG
rnacentral:rRNA from 1 species